rnacentral:tRNA from 1 species
GGAGAGGUACCCAAGUCGGUUGAAGGGGACGGUUUGCUAAACCGUUAGUGGGGGCAACCCCAGCGAGGGUUCGAAUCCCUCUCUCUCCGCCA